GGAGUUGUGGCUCAGUGGUAGAGUACUUGCCCUACCAUGCAUGAGACACUGGGUUUAAUUCUCAGCACUCCA
rnacentral:tRNA from 1 species